UUUGGUUAGGGUGUUAUUUGUUGCAUAUUGCUUUUCCACAGCAAAGGAUCUAUUGUUUAGAUGGCUAAAA
rnacentral:tRNA from 1 species